GGCCCUGUGGCGCAACUGAAUAGCGCACUGGAUUUCGGCUCCAGCGGUUACAAGUUUGAAUCUUGUCAGGGUCACCA
rnacentral:tRNA from 1 species